GGAAAAUUUUGGGGUGGAAAAAAAUCACUAGAUUGAAAAAGUUACUAGGAAAAAAUCGAGGAAAAUUCCCUAGGGGAAAAUUUUGAGUUUUAAAAUUUUUCGAGAAAAAUUUUGUAAAUUGAAGUUUUUUGGAAUAUUCUUUAGGAUGAAGAAAAGUCAUUAGAUUUAAAAAGUUACUAGAGAGAAUUCCCUAGGAAAAAAUUUUGGGUUUGAAAAUUUUUGGGGAAAAUUUUGAUGUAUUGAAGUUACUUGGAAAAUUCCCUAGAAUAGAGAAAAAUCACUAGAU